CAAGUUUGUCUGCCCUGGGUGAGUCGGGUCCUAAGGCGAGGCCGACAGGCGUAGUCGAUGGGUAACCAGUUGAUAUUCUGGUACCGGCUUGUCACCGUCCGUGUCGAGGUGUGUGAUGCUAAGCAUGUGAGCUUGUCUUGGGAGUGUUUUUGAUGCUUCUGGGGUGGGUGAGUGUGUGAACCGAUCAUGUAGUAGGCAAGCUGCGGAGGGUCGCAGUGAGGUAGCUCAUCCCCGGUGAUGGUUGUCCGGGGCUAAGUGUGUGGACUGUCUGGUAGGUAAAUCCGCUGGGCGUGAAGGUUGAGGCAUGAUGGGGAGCCCACGGUUGUGGGUGAGUGAGUGAUCCUGUACUGUCGAGAAAAGCUUCGUGAGCGAGGUGGCGGGUCCGCCCGUACCCUAAACCGACACUGGUGGAUAGGUAGAGUAUACCGAGGCGAUCGAGUGAAUCGUGGUGAAGGAACUCGGCAAAAUGCCCCCGUAACUUUGGGAUAAGGGGGACCUGAGCUGUCGUGCACCCGUGCGGUGUGGUGGCGGUGAGGGGCGCAGAGUCCAGGGGGAAACGACUGUUUACCAAAAACACAGGUCCGUGCGAAGUCGUAAGACGAUGUAUACGGACUGACUCCUGCCCGGUGCUGGAAGGUUAAGGGGAACUGUGAGUGUGAUGCGUAGCGGUGAACUUAAGCCCCAGUAAACGGCGGUGGUAACUAUAACCAUCCUAAGGUAGCGAAAUUCCUUGUCGGGUAAGUUCCGACCUGCACGAAUGGAGUAACGAUUUCCCUACUGUCUCCACCAUGAACUCGGUGAAAUUGCAUUACGAGUAAAGAUGCUCGUUACGCGCAGCAGGACGGAGAGACCCCGUGACCUUUACUAUAGUUUGGUAUUGGUGAUUUGGGUUGGCUUGUGUAGGAUAGGUGGGAGACUGUGAAGCUGUCACGCUAGUGGUGGUGGAGUCGUUGUUGAAAUACCACUCUGAUUGUUCUGGUUAUCUCCUGUGGACCGUGAUCCGGUUCAAGGACAGUG
rnacentral:ncRNA from 1 species